GACGAACGCUGGCGGCGUGCUUAACACAUGCAAGUCGAACGGAAAGGCCCUGCUUUUGUGGGGUGCUCGAGUGGCGAACGGGUGAGUAACACGUGAGUAACCUGCCCUUGACUUUGGGAUAACUUCAGGAAACUGGGGCUAAUACCGGAUAGGAGCUCCUGCUGCAUGGUGGGGGUUGGAAAGUUUCGGCGGUUGGGGAUGGACUCGCGGCUUAUCAGCUUGUUCGUGGGGUAGUGGCUUACCAAGGCUUUGACGGGUAGCCGGCCUGAAAGGGUGACCGGCCACAUUGGGACUGAGAUACGGCCCAGACUCCUACGGGAGGCAGCAGUGGGGAAUAUUGCACAAUGGGCGGAAGCCUGAUGCAGCAACGCCGCGUGCGGGAUGACGGCCUUCGGGUUGUAAACCGCUUUCGCCUGUGACGAAGCGUGAGUGACGGUAAUGGGUAAAGAAGCACCGGCUAACUACGUG
rnacentral:rRNA from 1 species